rnacentral:rRNA from 1 species
UGGGGAAUAUUGCACAAUGGGCGCAAGCCUGAUGCAGCCAUGCCGCGUGUAUGAAGAAGGCCUUCGGGUUGUAAAGUACUUUCAGCGGGGAGGAAGGGAGUAAAGUUAAUACCUUUGCUCAUUGACGUUACCCGCAGAAGAAGCACAGGCUAACUCCGUGCCAGCAGCCGCGGUAAUACGGAGGGUGCAAGCGUUAAUCGGAAUUACUGGGCGUAAAGCGCACGCAGGCGGUUUGUUAAGUCAGAUGUGAAAUCCCCGGGCUCAACCUGGGAACUGCAUCUGAUACUGGCAAGCUUGAGUCUCGUAGAGGGGGGUAGAAUUCCAGGUGUAGCGGUGAAAUGCGUAGAGAUCUGGAGGAAUACCGGUGGCGAAGGCGGCCCCCUGGACGAAGACUGACGCUCAGGUGCGAAAGCGUGGGGAGCAAACA